UACGUAGGGUGCAAGCGUUGUUCGGAAUUACUGGGCGUAAAGGGCUCGUAGGCGGCCAACUAAGUCGGAUGUGAAAUCCCCGGGCUCAACCUGGGAACUGCAUUUGUGACUGCAUCGCUGGAGUGCGGCAGAGGGGGAUGGAAUUCCGCGUGUAGCAGUGAAAUGCGUAGAUAUGCGGAGGAACACCGAUGGCGAAGGCAAUCCCCUGGGCCUGCACUGACGCUCAUGCACGAAAGCGUGGGGAGCAAACAGG
rnacentral:rRNA from 1 species